rnacentral:rRNA from 1 species
UACAGAGACUGCAAGCGUUAUUCGGAUUCACUGGGCGUAAAGGGUGCGCAGGCGGUUGGGUGUGUCAGAUGUGAAAUCCCGAGGCUUAACCUCGGAACUGCGUCUGAAACUACUCGACUAGAGUACUGGAGAGGGAAACGGAAUUCACGGUGUAGCAGUGAAAUGCGUAGAUAUCGUGAGGAACACCAGAGGCGAAGGCGGUUUCCUGGACAGUUACUGACGCUCAGGCACGAAAGCUAGGGGAGCAAACAGG